GGGCUUGUGGUUUAGUGGUAUAAUGUUUGUACUCCAUCAAUAUAUCGAUCUGAACACUGGCUAACCUCCGCAGACUCCCUUAGCAAGUUCUACGAAGUCCUUCUUCAAAGACAACGCAGUUUAAUCACUUGGGAGUGGUCCGGGGUUCGAUUCCCCGCGAGUCCA
rnacentral:tRNA from 1 species